UCUAAUACCGGAUAACACCUGCCCGGGCAUCCGGGUGGGUUAAAAGCUCCGGCGGUGAAGGAUGAGCCCGCGGCCUAUCAGCUUGUUGGUGAGGUAGUGGCUCACCAAGGCGACGACGGG
rnacentral:rRNA from 1 species